AAAGGUGUGCUAAUACCGCAUAAUCUCCCAGGAGAAAAGCAGGGGAUCGCAAGACCUUGCGCUUUAGGAGCGGCCGAUGCCUGAUUAGCUUGUUGGUAAGGUAAAAGCUUACCAAGGCUUCGAUCAGUAGCUGGUCUGAGAGGACGACCAGCCACACUGGGACUGAGACACGGCCCAGACUCCUACGGGAGGCAGCAGUGGGGAAUUUUGGACAAUGGGGGAAACCCUGAUCCAGCCAUGCCGCGUGAGUGAAGAAGGCCUUCGGGUUGUAAAGCUCUUUCAGCUGGAACGAAACGGUUACGAUUAAUACUCGUAAUUAAUGACGGUACCGGCAGAAGAAGCACCGGCUAACUACGUGCCAGCAGCCGCGGUAAUACGUAGGGUGCGAGCGUUAAUCGGAAUUACUGGGCGUAAAGGGUCCGCAGGUUGUUUUGUAAGUCAGAUGUGAAAGCCCCGGGCUUAACCUGGGAACUGCGUCUGAAACUACAAGGCUAGAGUAUGGCAGAGGGGGGUGGAAUUCCGCGUGUAGCAGUGAAAUGCGUAGAUAUGUGGAGGAACACCGAUGGCGAAGGCAGCCCCCUGGGUCAAUACUGACGCUGAGGGACGAAAGCAUGGGGAGCAAACAGGAUUAGAUACCCUGGUAGUCCAUGCCCUAAACGAUGUCAACUAGUUGUCGGGCCUUUACGGGCUUGGUAACGUAGCUAACGCGUGAAGUUGACCGCCUGGGGAGUACGAUCGCAAGAUUAAAACUCAAAUGAAUUGACGGGGACCCGCACAAGCGGUGGAUUAUGUGGAUUAAUUCGAUGCAACGCGAAAAACCUUACCUACCCUUGACAUGUAUCGAAGCCCGCAGAAAAGCGGGGGUGCCCGAAAGGGAACGAUAACACAGGUGCUGCAUGGCUGUCGUCAGCUCGUGUCGUGAGAUGUUGGGUUAAGUCCCGCAACGAGCGCAACCCUUGUCAUUAAUUGCCAUCAUUUAGUUGGGCACUUUAAUGAGACUGCCGGUGACAAACCGGGGGAAGGUGGGGAUGACGUCAAGUCCUCAUGGCCCUUA
rnacentral:rRNA from 1 species